rnacentral:misc_RNA from 1 species
GAUGAAGAACGCAGCGAAAUGCGAUAAGUAAUGUGAAUUGCAGAAUUCAGUGAAUCAUCGAGUUUUUGAACGCAUAUUGCGCCCUCUGGUAUUCCGGGGGGCAUGCCUGUUCGAGCGUCAUUAAAUAACCCUCAAGCAUAGCUUGGUGUUGGGCUUUUUUACGUCCUUGACUGGGAUGGGCAUAAAAAUUAGUGGCGAUGGCUUUUUUACUUUCAAGCGUAGUAAAUCUCGUCUUGCUAAAGAGGAAAAAGAUUUUUUUUCUGCCAAAAAUUUUAACAUUUAAAGUUGACCUCGGAUCAGGUAGGAUUACCCGCUGAACUUAAGCAUAUCAAUAAGCGGAGGA